AUCCUUUUGUAGUUCAUGAGCAUGAUGAUUGGGUGUUCACACAAUUGUGUGACGUGUCUCCAUCAAACCUUGUUACAAUACUGGCAUAUUACCCGUCUGAUG